rnacentral:rRNA from 1 species
GACGUAGGAUGCAAGCGUUGUCCGGAUUUAUUGGGCGUAAAGAGUUCGUAGGCGGUUUGUUAAGUCUGAUGUUAAAGACUGGGGCUCAACCCUGGGACCGCAUUGGAUACUGGCAGACUCGAGUGCAGUAGAGGCAAGUGGAAAUUCCCAGUGUAGCGGUGAAAUGCGUAGAGAGUGUGGAGGAACACCAGUGGCGAAGGCGACUGCUCUGGUC